GGGCCCAUGAGGAUGGAUGCAGUAAUCCAGCAGUGGUUGCUGUGCACCCUGCUGUGUCCCUGAAUGUGCAUGCUCUGAACAGUCAGUGGAUGCAGUGAUCCUGCAGUGAUUGCAGUGCACCUGCAUUUCCACAUCAGAUGGAAGCAGUGUCCCUUCAGGUGUUGCAGAGCCACUUUCUGUGUUGCUGAAGGUGAAUGCAGUAACCAUGCAGUGGAUGCAGUGUACCUAACGGUUUAUGCAGUAUGUUGUGACAGAGGAUGCGGUGCCCAUGAAGGGGGAUGCAGCAGUGCAGAAGUCAUGUGCCAGCUAGGCCUGAACCGAAUAGCUGUCCCUCUUGAACCACAGGUCAGACUCACUUGAAACACAUGUCAGCAAAACUGGCCCAACUUGCCUGCCAUGCCUGAACCACGUGCCAAGCCUGCCACAAACACAUGUGAGCCAGGCUUUAGCAGCACCUCGGCCGUGCAUGAGCCACACCUGAGGGAUGUGUGAGCCAUGCAUGACAAAAGCCUGAAUCAUGUGGCAGCCACAUGGGAGCCAGUGCCGUGGCAUGCCUGCAUCAUGUGUGAGCCAUGGCUGAGCUGUGCCUGAAACACUUGUGAAUGUGUCCACCAUAUGUGACCCACACGUGUCGUGUGUGAGCCACGCCUGAAUUACACCUGAAUCAUGUGUGAGCCAUGCAUGAACCACAUGUGAGACACCCUCAAGCACAUCUGAACCAUCUGUGAAACACACAUGAUGGAUGAUUGAACCACACAUGAAGCCCAGUGGAGCCACAGAUGAAACACAGCUGAGGCAUGUGUGAGCCACGUGCGAGCCAUGACUGAGCAUGGGAGAGCCACGUUUCAACAAACUGUGAGUCACGUGGGAGCCACACCUGUAUGGAAUGUCACACACACGUGACCAGAUGUCUGCCACACAUGGAUCUUUUGCAAUGAAUGCCUGAGUCAUGGGUCAGCCAUGCCUGAGCCCUGUGCGAUGAAUGCCUGAGUCAGGUGUCAGCCAGGCCUGACACAUGUGUGAGCCACACCAGGGUCAUGUUUCACACAUGCCUGUGUCACAUGUGAGCCAUGUCUGAACCACAUGCCACCCAUACGUGAACCUUGCAACAGACACCCCUGAGCCACACGAAGGCCAUACAUGAACCAUGUGUGAACCACACACAGGUGAAGUGUCAUGCACGCCUGUGUCACGUGGCCACCACACCUGAGUUAUGUCAGCCACGCCUGCAUAAACUCUGAGCCAUGCCUGAGGCAAAUCUAAGCCGUUCUGAUGUCACGUGCCAUCCUGGCUUGAACCAAGUGCCAGUCACACUUGAAUCACAGGUCAGCCUCACUUGAAGCACCUGUCAGCCACACUGGCACAACUUGCCUGCCAUGAAUGAACCACGUGCCAACCAUGCCACAAACACAUGUGAACCAUGCCUGAGCAACACCACAACCAUGCAUUAGAGACUCUUGAGCCAUGUGUGAGCCAAGCAUCACAAAAGCCUGAAUCAUGUGUCAGAUACGUGGGAGCCAGUGCUGCGGCACCCCAGCAUCAUGUGUGAGCAAUGGCUGAGUUAUGCCUGAACCACGUGUGAAAGUGUCCUCUACCAUUUGUGACCCAGAUGAGUCGUGCAAGAGCCACAUCUGAAUAACACCCGAACCAUGUGUGAGCCACGCAUGAACCACAUGUGAGACACCCUUGAAGCACAUCUGAACAACGUGUGAAAGACACAUGAUCGAUGCUUGAACCACACAUGAACCGCAGGGGAGCCACACAAGAAACACAGCUGAGCCAUGUGUGAGCCACAUGCCAGGCAUGACUGAGUAUGCGGGAGCCACGUUUCAGCAACAUGUGAGUCACCUGGCAGCAACUCCUGUAGGGCAUGUCACACAAGUGUGACCACAUGUCUGCCACACAUGGACCCUGUGCUAUACAUGCCUCAGUCACACGUCAGCCAUGACUGAAACAUGUGUCAGCCAUACCAAGGUCAUGUUUCACACAUGCCUGUGCCACAUGUCUGACACACCUGAACCACAGGUGGCCCACGCCUGAGUCAAGUCUCAGCUGUGCCAAUGUCACUCGCCAGCCUGGCCUGAAUCAAGUGCCAGUCACACUUGAACCACAGGUCAGCCUCACUUGAAGCACGAGUCAGCCACACUGGCACAACUUGCCUGCCAUGCCUGAACCACAUGACAACCAUGCCACAAACACAUGUGAGUCACGCUUGAGCAGUACCACAGCUGCGCAUGUGCCACACAUGAGCCAUGUGUGAGCCAUGCAUGGCAAAAGCCUGAAUCAUGUGUCAGAUACGUGGGAGCCAGUGCUGUGGCACGCCUGCAUCACAUAUGAGCCAUGGCUGAGGUAUGCCUGAACCACGUGCGAAAGUGUCCUCUACCAUUUGUGACCCAGAUGAGUCGUGUGUGAGCCACGCCUGAAUUACACCUGAACCAUGUGUGAGCCAUGCAUGAACCACAUGUGAGACACCGUUGAAGCAAUCUGAACCACCUGUGAAACACACAUGAUCGAUGCUUGAAUCGCACAUGACCCGCAAUGGAGCCACACAUGCAACACAGCUGAGCCAUGCGUGAGCUGCGUGACAGCCAUGACUGAGUAUGUGGCAGCCAGGUUUCAGCAACCUGUAGUCACAUGGGAGCCACCCAUGUACGUCAUGUGACUCCUGCGUGAUCACACGUCUGUCACACAUGGAUACUGGGUGAUGAAUGCCUGAGUCAAGUGUCAGCCAUGCCUGACACAUGAGUCAGCCACACUGGAGUCCCGUUUCACACAUGCUGGAGUCACAUUUCAGCCAUGCCUGAACCACCAGCCACCCAUGUGUGAACCCUGCACCAGCCAACCCUGAACCACACAAAGGCCAUGCAUGAGCCAUAUGUGAACCACACCCAGCUGACAUGUCACUCAUGCCUGUGUCACGUGGCUGCCUCACCUGUGUCAUGUGUGUAGCCACACAUGAAACAUAGCUGAGCCAUGCGUGAGCUGCAUGCCAGCCAUGACUCAGUAUGCGGGAGCCACGUUUCAGCAACCUGUGAGUCACGUGGGUGCCACACGUGUACAGCAUGUCACACACAUGUGACGACAUGUCGGCCACACAUGGAUCCUGUGUGAUGCAUAGCCUGAGUCAUGUGUCAGCCAUGCCUGACACAGGUGUCAGCCACACUGGAGUCAUGUUUCACACAUGCCUGAGUCACACGUCAGCCACGCCUGAACCACCUGCCACCCAUGCGUGCACGAUGCUCCAGCCACCCCUGAAACACACGAAGGCCAUGCAUGACACAUGUGUGAACCACACCAGAGUGAUCUGUCAUGCACGCCUGUGUCACAUGGCCACCACACCUGAGUCAUGUGUCAGCCACGGCUGAAUAAACUGUGAGCCAUGCCUGAGUCACGUCUCAGCAGUGCCGAAGUCACCUGCCAGCCCAGCCUGAACCAAGUGCCACUCACACUUGAACCACAGGUCAGCGUCACUUGAAGCACGUGUCAGCCACACUGGCACAACUUGACUGCCAUGCCUGAACCUCGUGACAACCAUACCAUAAACACAGGUGAGUCACGCUUGAGCAGUAUCACAGCUGUGCAUGUACCACACGUGAGCUAUGUGUGAACCAUACGUGUCAAAAGCCCGAAUCAUGUGUCAGAUACGUGGGAGCCAGUGCUGUGGCAUGCCUGCCUCACGUGUGAGCCAUGACUGAGCUAUGCCUGAACCACGUGAGGAAGUGUCCUCUACCAUUUGGAACCCAGAUGAGUCGUGCGUGAACCACGCCUGAAUUACAUCCGAACCAUGUGUGAGCCAUGCAUGAACCACAUGUGAGACACCCUUGAAGCACAUUUGAACCACCUGUGGAACACACAUGAUUGAUGCUUGAACCGCACGUGAACCGCAGGGGAGCCACGCAUGAAACACAGCUGAGCCAUGCGUGAGCCAUGUGCCAGCCAUGACUGAGUAUGCGGGAUCCACAUUUCAGCAACCUGUGAGUCAUGUGGGAGCUACACCUGUACAGCAUGUCACACACACGUGACCACAUGUCUGCCACACAUGGAUCCUGUGCGAUGCAUGCCUGAGUCACGUGUCAGCCAAGCCUGAGACACGUGUGAGCCACACCAGAGUCAUGUUUCACACAUGCCUGAGUCACAUGUCGGCCACGCCUGAACCACCUGCCACCCAUGCGUGAACCCUGCACCAAACACCUCUGAAGUACACGAAGGCCAUGCAUGAAGCAUGUGUGAACCACAACAGAAUGACGUGUCAUGCAUGCCUGUGUCACAUGGUCACCUCACCUGAGUCAUGUGUGAGCCACGCCUGCAUAACGUCUGAGCCACUCCUGAGUCAUGUCUUAGCAGUGCCGAAGUCUUGUGCCAGCCAGGCUUGAACCAAGUGCCCGUCACACUGGAAACACAGAUCAGCCUCACUUGAAGCUCCUGUCAGCCACACUGGCACAACUUUCCUGCCAUGCCUGAACCACGUGCCAGACAUGCCAUAAACACCCGUGAGCCAUGCCUGAGCAACACCCAACACAUGCAUGUGCCUCUCCUGAGCCUUGUGUGAGCCAAGCAUGACAAAAGUCUGAAUAACGUGUCAGCCACAUGGGAGCAAGUGCUGUGGCACGCCUUCAUCAUGUGUGACCCAUAGCUGAGCUAUGCCUUAACCAAAGGUGAAAGUGUCCUCUACGAUAUGUGACCAACAUGAGUCUUGUGUGAGCAUGCCUGAAUUACACCCGAACCAUGUGUGAGCCAUGCAUGAACCACAUGUGAGACACCCUUGAAGCACAUCUGAACCACCUGUGAAACACACAUGAUCAAUGCUUGAAUCGCACAUGACCCACAAGGGAGCCACACAUGAAACACAGCUGAGCCACGUGUGAGCCACGUGCCAGCCAUGACUGAGUAUGUGGUAGCCAGGUUUCAGCAACCUGUGAGUCACGUGGCAGCCACGCCUGUACAGCAUGUCACACGUGCGUGACCACAUGUCUGCCACACAUCGAUCCUGUGCGAUGCAUGCCUGUGUCACAUGUCAGCCAUGCCUGAGACAUUUGUCAGACACACUAGAGCCAUGUUUCUCACAUGCCUGAGUCACAUGUCAGCCACACCUGAACCACUUGCCACCCACGCAUGCACCAUGCACCAGCCACCCCCGAAUGACAUGAAGGCCAUGCAUGACACAUGUGUGAACCACAGCUGCGUGACAUGAGAUACACACCUGUGUCAUGUGGUCCCAUCACCUGAGUCAUGUGUCAGCCACGCCUGAAUAAACUUUGAGCCAGGCCUGAGUCAGGUCAAAGCCGUCCUGUGGUCACGUGCCAGCCAGGUCUGAACCGCCUGCUAGUCACACUAGAAUAACUGGUCAGCCUUAUUUGAAGCACAUGUCAGCCUCACUCGCACAACUUGCCUGCCAUGCUGGAACAACGUACCACCCAUGCCACAAACACAUGUGAGCCAGGCCUGAGCAACACCACAGACAUGCAUGAGCCACACCUGAACCAGGUGUGAGCCAUGCAUGACCAAAGCCUGUAUCAUGUGUCAGCCGCAUGGGACCCUGUUCUGUGGCAUGCCUUCAUCACGUGUGAGCCAUGACUGAGCUAUGCCUGAACCACGUGUGAGAUUGUCCUCAACCAUAUGUGACCCAGACGAGUCGUGUGAGAUCCACGUCUGAAUUACACCCAAACCAUGUGUGAGCCAUGCAGGAACCACAUGGGAGACCCCCCUGAACCACAUCUGAAGAACCUGUGAAACACAAAUGUUCCAUGCUUGAACCACGCAUGAAUCAGAGAGGAGCAACACAUGACACACAGCUGAGCCAUGCGUGAGCCAUGUGGCAGACAUGACUGAGUAUGUGGUAGCCAUGUUUCAGCAACCUGUAGUCACAUGGGAGCCACCCAUGUACGGCAUGUGACUCCUUCAUGAUCACAAUUCCGUCACAAAUGGAUACUGGGUGAUGAAUGCUUGAGUCACAUGUCAGCCAUGCCUGACACAUGUGUCAGCCACACCAGAGUCCUGUUUCACACACGCCAGAGUCACAUUUUAGCCACGCCUGAACCAUCUGCCACCCAUGUGUGAACCAUGCAGCAGCCAACCCUGAACCACACGAAGGC
rnacentral:lncRNA from 1 species